ACUUAGGUAAGCUAACUAUAAGCUGUUGGGUUCAUACCCCAAAAAUGAAUUUUAUUUCCCUAAUUA
rnacentral:tRNA from 1 species